rnacentral:lncRNA from 1 species
GCUCUUGGAGCAGUAGCGCAAGGAUUGCGGCUGUUGUGUUGUAUUCAAGACCUAUGAACCAUUGGGGAGGUCCAUGAAGGCGUCAAUGGCUCUCACAAUGAAGGCCUGCUAGAGCCAGCAGCACCUCAUAAAAAUCAUACCCUACGGUGUGCUAAUUAAAGAUAUAGCCUUUUUAAAUUUCUAAUUAAAUUUCAAAAUCAAAAUUAAUGGAUUUUAAAUUUAUUAAAUUUGAUGAGGUGUGUGACAAAACUUACCAAUGAUCCGUAACGA